UCCUAGCUUCCUCAAUGACAGUUAAUUUAAUACCCUUACCCUUGGGAAGAGAUACCCAUGGCUUUGUCCCCUUGCCAAUAGUGAACACAUUGACCAGACGAGUUGCAAACUCAUGACCAGUGGCAUCCUGAACGUGGAUUGUCUCAAAGGUUCCCUUAUGCUUUUCUCUGUUCUUGAUCACUCCAACACGCCCCCUAUUCUUACCACCAGUAACCAUCACUACAUUCCCAACAUCGAAUUUGAUGAAAUCGACAAUCUUGUUUUCCUCAAGGUCCAGCUUGAUUGUGUCAUUAGCCCUGAUGACUGGGUCAGGGUAGCGGAUAGUGCGACCAUCAUAGGUGUUCAGGUAUGGGAUACCUUUCUGCCCAAAUUGCACUGAACGCACCUUGCACAGCUUAAA
rnacentral:lncRNA from 1 species